UGAAAAGCUUUUGAAACUCUCUCUACCUCCACAAAGUUCUGCCAAUAUCUAUUCUCUUCUUUAUCCAUCAGUUCUUCGUCUUCUUCUGUUCUUCGUCUUCCUCUCUCUUCCUCAUUCUUCUUCUUCUUCUUCUUCUUCUUCUUCUUCUUCUUCUUCGCUUCUCCUCCUCAACCUUCUCAUUCUUCUUCUUCUCCCUUUGUUCUAUCUUCCUUCUGAUCCUCUUCUUCUUUCUAAUCUCUCCAUAUAUUGUUCAAAUUUGGUUUAUUUCACGAUUUAACUGAUUUAUUGUUUAGGUUUUGCAGAACAACAGAGGAGGAAGAAAGAAUAACGGGUUCUGAAACAUGAAAAAGCAGAAACAAACCAAAUGGAAGAUAGGGGUUGCAACUAAUUUGCGGUUUUGAAUUUGUAGUUAGGGUUUUAGUGGUUUAUUUGAUGAUUUUGUGGUUGAUUUUUCAGGUUAUAGACUGGAUCGAGUUUUGCCGCUGAGUUUUGAAACUAAAAAGGUUAUAUACUGGAUCGAGUUUUACCGGUGAGUUUUGAAUCUAACAAGAUGUGAUUGACAUGGUCGACGAAGUUGGAUACACCCAAAGUCUAGCAGGAAGCAAAAUACCACAGGUUAACUUGAUAUUGAAAGAUCUGGGUAACAACACAAUCCAUUGUACCUUAUGGGAAGAAUUCACAUUAGCAUAUUUUGCGUACAAACAGAAACAGACGGAUCCCUCUAUCCCAAUAAUUAUUAUGCUACAGUAUGCAAAGGUAAAUACCCAUUUGCUGUGACGAAUACUUAUAAUGUCACCUAGAUUCAUAUCAACGGGGAUACGGCUCAAAUUAAUGAAUUUCUUAAAAGGUUGCCUAUGGAAAGUUUAAUUGGUACUUCAGGCCAUGAUAAGAGCACCCAGUCCCAAGUUUGGUAACAAAGUUUUGCAGACUCUCAACAAACACCGUAUCAAAAAUUUCUGUCCAAAGUUGUUAAGCUUCUCCUGCGAAGCAUUACCAUAUUAAAGGAUAUAUCUAUAACUAACAAGGCUUCGCCUUAAUUUGUUUGGAUAAAAUAUUAAUUCUUAAUCAUUUUAUUUAAAUGUUAUUUAGGUCUCUAAAUAGCAUGCAAUUGCUUAUUUAAUGCAAAGGUUUUAAGGGACAAUAUAUACUAAAAUGAAAUCCCUAAAUUAUAUAUACAUAUAAUAUAAUGUAGCAUGUGUGAAUAUAGACUUCUAAAUAUGUUUUUCAAGUGAAACAUUACACAACAAAUCAACAAUUAUGAACAACCGGAGCUGUCACUGCAAUUUUUUCCAAUUUGUUGGGGGAACCAAUGCAUUUUGUAGGCAAUCCAUGGUGGAGUUGAUAAGCCUCAAGCAACAAUAAGAUUCAGAAGAUGAUUCUUCUAAUGACAGGACCGCACAAGAAGUUGAAUUGCCACACAUAUGUAAGGUAGAUAGUUGUAAAAUGAUAGCAAACAUUUCGAAGUUUGUUAUGUAGGUUACUAGCUGAACAUUUUUCACAUCUCUAUCAGAAAGUUACUAGAUACUCUGGGUACUGUGAGCAAAAUGC